CCUUCGUCCUAAAACUAUUGUUCAUGUCCAACGUUUGACCGUUCAUCUUAUUUGAAAAUUUUUUAUGAUUAGUAUUUUUGUUGUUAUUAGAUGAUAAAAUAUGAAUAGUAUUUUAUGUGUGACUAAAUUUUAAAAAAAAUUGUAAAUUUUUUAAGUAAGACGGACGAUUAAACGUUGGACACGGAUUUCUAAGUCUACACUUAUU
rfam:Oryza nivara chromosome 2, whole genome shotgun sequence.